GGGACAUUUCAUCGGAGGAUGUGAAGACUUAGGCUUUGAAGGCGCAGGUGGCGGAAGUGCAGGAGCUGCUGGAGCCGCAGGAGCAGGGGCACUUGCAGGAGGCAAUUGUGGUUGAUAAAAGCCCUGCUGAACAGAAGGUGGGGCCAUAGCAACAGGUGGCUGGGGCAAUGCCGCCUUCUUCCUUAUAAGGAAGAAGGCGGCAUUCUGUGGUUGAUAAAAACCCUGCUGAACAGAAGGUGGGGCCAUAGCAACAGGUGGCUGGGGCAAUGCCGCCUUCUUCCUUUUAAGGAUUUCACAAUCCUUUUGCUUCAGCUGCAGUUCCACAAUAUCCCUCGAAUCUAGGCAAUAAACAGGCAUGGCAGUUUCAUAGAAGUCACUGCAACUAAGGGUAUUAAACGGGCCGGGUCAGCCCGGUUCCGGACCGGCCUAGACCGGUUAAAGGAGGUUGGGUUGGGUUAGGGGGCCGCACGGGUUGUUCCGUUUAUAUUUUAAAUACCGGUUACCCGGAUCGGUACAACCCGUUAGAUGAACAGUGCCGUUAAACCGGUUAACCGGCCCGGACCGGAUCGCCCCAUACUGGUUUAAUGGUAAGUUUUUUUGUUUUUAAUUUUUUUUUUGGGAGCUUUACAUACCUGUCUAACUUUUAAAAACAUAAUAGUGGUAUAUUCUAGUAUUAAUAUUUUAUAUCUUACACAUACCAUGAAUAUAUACCAAUUAUUGUAUACUAAUUAACAUAAUUUAAAAUUAUCGGAAUUUAACAUAGUAUGAUACAUGUAAUAAUAGUGGAAUACUUUUGUCACUUUUUUGUAUAUUUUUCAGUGGAAAUUGGUUUGAGUAUAUAUUUUAUAAGUCUUGAUUAUACCAUGCAUAUAUAUUUUAUACGUAUUUAAAAUGAAAGAAAUAUAAUUUAAAUCAUAUAGGAGUAUUAUAUAAGGUAAAAUACCGGAUCCUAGGUU
rnacentral:lncRNA from 1 species